rnacentral:rRNA from 1 species
UACGGAAGGCAGCAGUGGGGAAGUAUUGCACAAUGGGCGCAAGCCUGAUGCAGCCAUGCCGCGUGUAUGAAGAAGGCCUUCGGGUUGUAAAGUACUUUCAGUCGUGAGGAAGGUGUUAAGGUUAAUAACCUUAGCAAUUGACGUUAGCGACAGAAGAAGCACCGGCUAACUCCGUGCCAGCAGCCGCGGUAAUACGGAGGGUGCGAGCGUUAAUCGGAAUUACUGGGCGUAAAGGGCACGCAGGCGGUUAAUUAAGUUGGAUGUGAAAUCCCCGGGCUUAACCUGGGAAUGGCAUUCAAGACUGGUUAGCUAGAGUCUUGUAGAGGGGGUAGAAUUCCAUGUGUAGCGGUGAAAUGCGUAGAGAUGUGGAGGAAUACCGGUGGCGAAGGCGGCCCCUGGACAAAGACUGACGCUCAUGUGCGAAAGCGUGGGGA